rnacentral:rRNA from 1 species
CCUACGGGUGGCUGCAGUGGGGAAUUUUGGACAAUGGGCGCAAGCCUGAUCCAGCCAUUCCGCGUGAGUGAAGAAGGCCUUCGGGUUGUAAAGCUCUUUCGCAAGGGAAGAAAACUUAUCCUCUAACAUAGGAUGAGGUUGACGGUACCUUGAUAAGAAGCACCGGCUAACUACGUGACAGCAGCCGCGGUACUACGUAGGGUGCGAGCGUUAAUUGGAGUUACUGGGCGCAGUUUUGGAGCUCGGUUGUGAAAUCCCCGAGCUCAACUUGGGAACUGCGUUUGAAACUACAAGACUAGAAUAGGUCAGAGGGGGGUAGAAUUCCACGUGUAGCAGUGAAAUGCGUAGAGAUGUGGAGGAAUAUCAAUGGCGAAGGCAGCCCCCUGGGAUCAUAUUGACGCUCAUGCACGAAAGCGUGGGGAGCAAACAGGAUUAGAUACCCUUGUAGUC